rnacentral:lncRNA from 1 species
AUGGCUUUGAGCAUGUCCAGCACCCAACACACACCACACACACCCACACCCGCACACGCACACGCACACGCACACGCACACAGAGACACAUGCUCUCACCCCCAGCCCAGUCUUUCACAGGCCAUACCCUCACACAACCGCAAACACACUGAUACACACUGCUGUGUGUGCUUUCAUAUGUACACAGAGACACAUGCUCUCACCCCCAGCCCAGUCUUUCACAGGCCAUACCCUCACACAACCGCAAACACACUGAUACACACUGCUGUGUGUGCUUUCAUAUGUACACUCACACCUCAUCCCACCACCAACCCUCCCACCCCCCAGCUCCAACCCCAAGACCCACCUUGCUCCCACCCCACCCCCCGCCCGCGCCCGCGCCCGCGCCCCCGCCGCCCCGUCCCCCACACAGGCGCACACAGAGAAUGCCUGAAACAUACGUUCCCGGGAGGGCUCUGCGCAAGGGACAGGGAGCCAUUCUGUGUCUCCUGAGCUGGUGGUCUGUCAGCAGGUCCGCCGGGCUACAGUGUAAACUUGGGGCCUCCCUUGUUUAGGCAGAGAAAGAAACGGGGGUCUCCGAGUCCCGAGUCCCAUUCAUCAGAGUCUGUGCCCUUCCUCUCCAGCAUCCUGGCCCUGGGUGGGGCCUUGUGCCUUGGCGAGGUUUGGUGGCCUUUGCAGGGUUCCUGUGUGAGAGCAAGGCCAGCCUGUGUUGCCUCGGGCUUUGGGUAGCCCUUUACAGGGGAGCCUCCGGGGCGGGUGGGGGUGGGGGGUGGGAGCCCUGUGGCUGCAGGUUGGGCCAGCCGUUUCUGGCUGCUUUGUUGGGGGGCCAGCCCAAGGUGGUGAGCUCCAGGCCUUGGUAGGAAGCAGAGCCCGGCCAAAAAAGUCCCUGGCAAGACAGAGCAGAGCGUUGGGCCACCCGAAUGGUGGCUGCCACCUUGUCCGAGGCAGGUCCCCUGAUUUAAUCCCUGGGACAGAGAGAGUCACCCAGGCCUGUGGGUGUGUCCUUGGCCUUUUGCUUCUCUCCCAGAGCUGGAGCUAGGAAAAAUGGGGUUGGAGCAAAGAAGGGGAAAGGCCUGCAGGGGGUCCCGCCUCCUGGUCAGCAGUCGUUCUGCCCAGUGCAUUUGGUGAGCGGCAUGGGUCCAGGUGGCUGGUUCCUUUCCUUUUCUGUGCUUCUUCCUGGGACUGUCUGUGUCAGUUGCGUUUUGCUUUUGCUUUCACCCUGGUAGGGCAGGAGGCUCCAGGCCCUGGGGGCGGGUGUUGGAGGGGAGGGGGGGUAAGCAUUUGGUUGGCAUUGGUGGAGCCAUACUGCCAUCAAGCGGAGAUAGUUUCUGUCAGAGCCGGUUAGCAGGGCCCAAGGCAGAGGCCCUCCGGGAGGGGAGAGAGAGAGAGAGAGACAGAGACAGAGACAGAGACAGAGGGGGGGGGCUGUGCUGUGCCCAGUGCGGGCGGGGUGGUCCGGAGGGUGCAGCGGGUGCACAGGGCGAAGGGCCCC